rnacentral:rRNA from 1 species
AUACGAGUGAGAGGACUCUGGGUCACCUCCCACCCGUGUUUAUCGUACCUUGUUGCUUCGGCGGGCCCGCCUCACGGCCGCCGGGGGGCAUCCGCCCCCGGGCCCGCGCCCGCCGAAGACACACAAACGAACUCUUGUCUGAAGAUUGCAGUCUGAGUACUUGACUAAAUCAGUUAAAACUUUCAACAACGGAUCUCUUGGUUCCGGCAUCGAUGAAGAACGCAGCGAAAUGCGAUAAGUAAUGUGAAUUGCAGAAUUCAGUGAAUCAUCGAGUCUUUGAACGCACAUUGCGCCCCCUGGUAUUCCGGGGGGCAUGCCUGUCCGAGCGUCAUUGCUGCCCUCAAGCACGGCUUGUGUGUUGGGCUCUCGCCCCCCGCUUCCGGGGGGCGGGCCCGAAAGGCAGCGGCGGCACCGCGUCCGGUCCUCGAGCGUAUGGGGCUUCGUCACCCGCUCUGUAGGCCCGGCCGGCGCCCGCCGGCGAACACCAUCAAUCUUAACCAGGUUGACCUCGGAUCAGGUAGGGAUACCCGCUGAACUUAAGCAUAUCAA